rnacentral:lncRNA from 1 species
UGGGGAGGAAGCACGGCUGUUGGGGAAGGGCCAGGACCUCAGGCCCAGCCCCAACCCCAGCUGGGGUGGGGUCUUCCCCACCUGUCUCUUAUGCCUUAUGGGAAGGCCCAGCCAUAACUCGGGGGCCAUGCUGGAGCUGGGGACCAGCUUAGGCCUCCUCCAUAGGAACCCAGUGACUGGGGGGUGACGCCUACACCCCCAGCUAUUUGCACUCUGGUGUGUGGUUUGACUCUGCUUUUCUUCCGGAUUGGCCCUGUGGUGACAGCCUCAGGGGGCCAGGCUGGGGGAACCUCACCUGGCCCCUACUCCUCCUGGGGGUUUCCCUUUGCCAUUGGGCCCCCUGAGGGACUGUGGGGGCUCAAGGGUAAUGCCAGAGGCCCAUGGCCUCAGCGAGGGGCUGUGGGGCGCCUAGAGUUCUCGGUGUGUCUCCUUCAUUCAUUGGCCUCUGCUGGGGCCUCCUAUGGGUGUCUUACGUCUGUCCAUCCAUCUGUCUGUGGUCAGAAGUGGGGUCAGUGUGUGAGUGAGAGCAGGAGUAUUUAUGAAAAUAAAACGUCGUUUUUCCUGGACCAGCUGCUCUCGUGGCCCUUUGGCCCAGUUCUCAAAGCCCCACUUCCAUUUCUGUUGAUUUGGCCGAGGCACCAGUUAAUUUUGGUUUUCAGCAACCGCAUCACACUGUUCGUCUGUUUAUGGCAGCCAGAAGAAGUGGCAAGGGCCUGGGAGCCUGCUCCUGCCUAGUCGGUUUUUUGUUGUUGUUGUUUUUACGGAGUUUCGCUCUUGUUGCCCAGGCUGGAAUGCAACGCAACCUCUGCCUCCCGAGUUCAAGCGAUUCUCCUGCCUCGGCCUCCCGAGUAGCUGGGAUUACAGGCCUGCGCC